GCUCUUCAAACCUUCACCCUUGGACGCUAUAUGUGUCCGUGAUGCUUCGGUAUCUAUGGCGAUAAAUGGCGCUCGUAAUAAGCGGCCCGGACCCGGGGGCGGUACCCGGCGGCUCCACCAGAGGCCUCACGACGAUAAGUGGUGUGAGGAUUGUGGCGGGGCCGAAAUAGUAUCGACGGACGUGUAAAGGUUCUGCUUUCGCUCGGAUGGUCUCCGUUAUUGGGCCACUUAGAAUAGUUGCAAAUGACAACUCUUCGGAAGGUUUCGCUCUCGCUGCGUAACGCAGUGCGAGAAAACCGCAUUUAAGUCCCAGACCCAUCCCGGUCUGGGCGGGGUCCCGGCGAACCUGGCAACAGAAUCGCCGACU
rnacentral:tmRNA from 1 species